GAUCAAUGAUGAAAAGUAGCCAAAUCUGAGCGCUUGGGCAAUAUUUGCCUCAGCCUAUGAUUAUGCUUGAGA
rnacentral:snoRNA from 1 species